GGUUCGAUGCCACGUCGACGGUAGCCAAAAGUGCAUUGACCGACGAUGCUAUGAUUGAACCGAUAACAAGGCUUUGUGUCUUUCGCAUUUUAUAGGAACCUGUGAACUGAUUGAUUUCCGUUCAUUCACAGAGCCGUUUUUUGCGAUUACAUUC